rnacentral:rRNA from 1 species
GUCGGCAGCUAGCUCUCUGCAACUCUCACAUGGUCGCCCACUAAAGCUAAGCAGGGCUACACCUGGAUCGUAUCCGGAUGGGAGACCACAUGGGAAAGCCAGGUUGCUGCCAGAA